GGCACAAAUGAGACAGUUCUGAAUAGCCCUUCAGAGAUUUUAAAACAACGCUUAUGUUGAGGCCAUGACCCACAGACCUUACUGUCUUAACCAGCUUAGAUUGGUUUUCUGUCAGAACAGCAAAAAUACUAACAACAUGCUCUGUAGGAUUUAAAUAAGAUAGUCUCAUAAUAAAAAUGAAGAACAGAAUAAAAUUUCUUAGCAUAAAGAGAAUCAGAAAAAUAUCAACUCUUGUGGGGGGAAAAAAACACCAAUGGACAUCAAAUUUGAGACAACAGAUGUAACAUUUAUUUCAGGAAAACUUUAAAGCAGUGCUUUGUAAAAACAUCCCAACAAAUAAGGACAUACAAAAAUAAUGGAAAGAUAGAAAUUCUCAGCAAAGUAAUUAAUGAUAGAAAGAAUGCAAACAUUAUUUCUAAAUAAAAUGGAAGUAGUAUAGUUUUAAAUUCCAAAUAGAAACUGUCCAAUCUGACCAAAAGAGCUCCUUUGAGAGAUUAUCCCUCAUAGAAAUGGAGAAAGGUUUCAUACAAAAAAAAAAGAUAUAAAAAAUUGGAGAUUAAAGAAGAGCCAGAAAAUCCCAAAUUUGGCAAAAUACUUAAAUAUAUAGAUUCAAGAAGGUCGCUGAACCACAGACAGUAUAUGCAUGUUGGUUUGCAACAGGAGCUUCCCAAGCAGUGUGAAGCUGGCUCUUGUUCACGGAGGAAAGGACAGACCAAAGAGGGAAGCAGGUCUCUCCAGAGUGGAAAAUAGUAGGUUUUAUAAGCAAGAGAACUUAACAAGGAGGCUUAUCUUGGGUGUCCACAAGAUAGACAUUCAUACCUGCUGGCCAGUUUAUACAGAGGCUUUAAAGGGGUACAAAGCACAUACACAGUCCAGAUGUUCUCAACAAUGCAUUGGUCUCCCUAGAUUGUAUUCUUGAAACUGGCUUCUACUGUGGAAAAGGUGGGCAGAAGGGACAUUUCAAAGACAGGGAUGGGGUGAGGAGUCUCUGACUGGAUGGUCUUCUCCUCUUGAUAACCUCCUCCAACAAUUAAAGACCUGCCAAAAAUUAAAGACGAAGUAUUGAAAGCAGCUGGAGAAAAAUGGCCAACUACUUACAAGCUAACAAUUCAAAUGAUGGUGUAUUUCUCUUAAGAGACCACAUAGGAGAGAAGUAGCACAACAUGAUUAAAGACCUGAAAUGAAUCACUAACCAGAAGCCUGUAUGCAAUGAAAAUAUCCUUUAAAAGAUAUGGUGAAAUAAAUAUCUUCUCUGAUUAAAGAAAAUUAAGAGAAUCCAUUGCACGGAAAAAAAAAAAAACCCUAUCUUUGUUUUUGCUUUCUAAAAUUGCUAUACAAAGUUCUUUAGGCAGAAGAUUGUAUCAAAUGACAAAGUAGACUAUAGGUAAAACAAACAAACAAAAGCUAUGAAGAAUAAGAGGGAUAUUACAUCAUAAAAAAAUCAGUUCACUAAAAAGAUGUACUCUAAAAUAUGUUUGUGCCUAACAAAAGUACUUCAAAAUACAUGAAGCAAAUGUGGACUUUUUAUUGAAAUACAGCUGAUUUACAACAUUAUAAUAACUUCAGGUGUACAGUGUAGCGAUUCAGUGCUGUUACAGAUUGCAUUCCAUUAAAAAAUAUUACAAGAUAAUGCCUAUAAUUCCCCAUGCUAUACAACUUAUCCUUGUUACUUAAAUAUUUUAUACCUAGUAGUUUGUAUCUCUUCAUCUGGUACCCCUAAUUUCCCCCUCCCCAUGUUUCCUCUUCCCUUUUGUAACCACUAGUUUGUUUUCAAUAUCUGUGAAUUUGUUUCUGUUUUGCAUAUGCAUUCAUUUGUAUUCCUUUUUGGAUUCCAUGUGUAAGUGAUAUCAUACAGUAUUGCUUUUCUCUGACUUGUUUCACUAAGCAUAAUAUUCACUAGGUCCACAUUGCUGCAAAUGGUAGAAUUUCAUUUGCUCUUACGGCUGAAUAAUAUUCUAUUGUAUAUACAUACCAUGUCUUCUUUAGCUAUUCAUAUGUUGAUGGGCACUUGGUUUGCUUUUGUAUCUUGCACUAUUAUAAAUAGUGAUCCUGUGAAAAUUGAGGUGCAUGUGUCUUCCUAAAUUGGUGUUUUCAUUUUUUCCAUAUAUAUACCCAGAAGUGGAAUUGCUGGAUCUCAUGGUAGUUCUAUUUUUAGUUUUUUUGUUCAACUAUGUGUCCGUGCUGUUUGACAUACGUGCUGCACCAAUUUAGCAAAUACGGACUUAAUAGAAAGAACAGAUAAAUCCACUGUGUAAAUUUUGAGGCUUCAACACUCUUCUUCAGUAAAUGACAGAAUUACCAGAAAAACAACAUAGAAGAACCGAAAUACCAUAAACCACUUGGAUCUAGUUGACAUUUAUAGAGUACCUCACCCAACAGUAGAAAAUACAUUUUUUCUAGUGCACAUAGAACAUUCACUAAAAUAGAUGACAUCUUGAGUCAGAAUCUAAAGCUAAAACUAAGCAUAAAAAAAAUUAGGGAAAAUGUGAUUUUAAGUACACAUCUUAUAGCUAUCAAUUUCUCUUUGCUCUGUCUUUCCACCUCCUAUCAAUUUUAUCCAUUUUAUUUUUCAGAUUUAUGAUAUUUAACAGUUGGUUUCUUUCUGUAAUGCUUAGGGGUUUGGCUCUAAGUUAUGUGAUCAUUAUCAGUUAUCUAUUUGUUUUUAGCACAGCUGUGUUUAGCACAGCUGUGUUUAGCACAGCUUCUCCAUUGCUGAUUAUCUUAUUUGUGUUUAUUUUAUUGUUGGUUGAAAUACAGUCAAGGCCUUUCUUCAAGAAUUUCUCACCUUUUUUUGGAAUAGUUUCAUCUUCAUUUCAUCACUAUUGGUUUAAUAGUUUAUAACAGUUUGGCUGAUUAUAAUAUUUGGGUCAAAAGAUCUCUGAAAAAAAUUCUAAUUUUCUUGUUUCAUUGUCAUAUAUUUGUGUUGGUUAUGUGGAAGACACCAUUGUCUUUGCUUUAAAAUAAGGCAUUUGCUUUUUUUAAUACCUGUUUUCUCAUGAAUUGAUUUUAUCCUUUAAUUUAUUAGCAAAGAGGCAAUUUUUAGUAUGAGUCAGAUCUUUCCAUGGCAGUAGCUUCUAACCACCCACAUGAGACAGUGACAUGCAAUAAUAAGCAUUGUUCGCAUAUCUGAAUUUUGGCUGUGGAAACUCUGCUUCAGGCUGUUGAUUGCCGGUCAGGUCAGCUGGAGAGGAUCUGUUCUGUACAUCUCAUUUUGGUAUCCAGCUAAUGGGACAGUGAGUUUCUAAAGGCAGUGAUUACAGGCUUAUAAAGGACACGCAGAAUCGCUCAAAGCACUCAGAGCCUAGUUUUUGAACAGGUCCACUGCAUCUCUUCCCAUAUGCCUUCAGUCAAAGGAGUUACUUGGCAGAAACAAACUUUGGGAGAGCGGGAAGUGGCUCUUUAAUUGAGAUUGCAGGGAAGGGAAUGAUUUACUGAAUAAUAAUUCCAUCUAUCAUAAAGCUUAAUACUGACUUUUCAGCAUCAAUUUUUCUUGUUAGUCUGUGUGCAUUUGUAAAUCUACAAAUUUGUUUCUUUCACAAAACUUAUUUCUGUGACUGUCAUCUUGUAUAUAAUUUCUUAAAGUUCAACCACUCCCUGUCUUCAGGGUUUAAAACUGAAAAGUUGUUCACACCAGUAUUUUGAUUGUUACCUGAGUUUAGCCAGUUUCUUGAAGGUCAUAAUAUAUUUUUCAAAUGUGUAAUGAUGAUUUUUCUUUAUCAUUUUGUUAAUAUUACUUGAAGUCAUCCUGUUUACUUUACUCAUUUCUUUGUUCAUUUAACAUGUAUGUUUUAAGUAUUUACUAUGUGCCAGGUAUCAUUAUAGAUAUAAUGGUUAAACAUAAUAAAAUAAUCAAUCUCAUGUACAUUUUAGUUGGUGUAUUAAACAAAUUAAUAAAAUAAGUCAUUGGGAGUUCCCGUCGUGGCACAGCGGAAACGAAUCCGUCUACGAACCAUGAGGUUGCGGGUUCAAUCCCUGGCCUUGCUCAGUGGGUAAGGAUCUGGCAUUGCUGUGAGCUGUGGUGUAGGUCGCAGACGCGGCUUGGGUCUUGCAUUGCUGUGGCUGUGGCGUAGACCAGCGGCAACAACUCUGAUUCAUCCCCUAGCCUGGGAACCUCCAUAUGCUGCGGGUAUGGCCCUAAAAACUCACAAAAAAGAUAAAAAAUAAAGUAAAUAAUUUUAACCAUCCUCAUAAUAAUAAUCAUAAUAAUUGUCUGUUGGUUAAGGUCUCUCUCCCUUGCAUACUUACACAUACAUAUUCCCUACUUAUAUACAUGUUUUCUGCAUACAUAUAUAUACACAUCUAUUCUCUACAGACUAUUUUUUUUUUACGACAGUGUUAAUAAGUAUAGUCACCAAGUUAGACUAUCUCCUUAGACUUUAUUCAUCUUAGAGUUUGAAAGUUUGUGCUCUUUCACCAACCUCUCUCUGUUCAUUCCCUCCAGCUCCUGGCAGCCACUCUUCUACUCUGCUUCUAUAGGUUUGACCUUUUUUGAGAUUCUGCAUAGAAGUAGUACCAUGCAUAUUUGUUUUUCCCUGUCUGGCUUAUUUCACUUAGCUUAAUGCCUUCAAGAUCCAUCUGUGUUUUGGUAAAUAGCAGGAUUACCUUCUUUCUCAUGGCUGAGUAAUAUUCUAUUCUAUUAUACAUAUAAUAUACAUAUAUAUAUAAUAUACAUAACAUAUAAUAUAUAUAAAUAGCACAUCUUAUUUAUCCAUUUAUCUGUUAAUGAACACUUAGGUUGCUUUCAUCUCCUGACUUCUGUGAAUAAUGCUACAGUGAACACAGGUACCUCUUCAGUACCCUGUUUUCCUUUACUUUGGAUAGCUACACAGAAGUGCUAUACUGGAUCAUAUGGUAGGUCUAUUUUCAACUUCUUGAGGAACCUCCUUACUCUUUCCUGUAGUAGCUGCACCAGUUUACAUUCCCACCAACAGUAUACAAUGGUUCCCUUUUUCCGUAUCUGUGCCAAAACUUUUUUUCUUGUCUUUUGGUUGAUAGCCAUUCUAACAGGUGUGAGGUCAUACCACCUUGUUGUUUUGAUUUGCAUUUCCAUGAUGAUUAUUGAUGCUGAGCACCUUUCCAUAGACCUGUUAGAUAUCUGUAAGUUUUCUUUGAAAAAAUAUUUAUUCACUGCCUGUGCCUGUAUUUAUUUAUUUAUUUUUGGCGAUGCCAGUGGUAAGUGGUCGUUCCCGGGCCAGGGAUCAAACCCACGCCAUAGCAGCCACCCAACCCACUGCAGUGACAACACCAGAUCCUUAACCUGCUGAGCCAUGAGAGAAUGCCUUUGCCUAUUUUUAAAACAUUCUUAUUAUACUCCACUAGUAAAAGGAAAGGAUCUGCUCCUUGUUUUGGUUUAUGGUUUUUAACAUUCUGUUUCUUCAUUAUUUGUAUGUUAUAUAUUCCUUCUUUCCCUUUUCAUCUUUUUGGGGUUUUUUGCCUUGUGAUUUGUUUUUUAACUGGUCCAUGGAGAAGAGAUGAUAGACAACAAACUGCAUAUAUUUAAACCAUACAUUUUGGUAAGUUUUAAUGUUUGAAUAUACCUGUGAAAUCAUCACUAUAAUCAAGAUAUUAACAUAUUCAUAAUUUUUAAAGUUUUACCCCUUCGGAAUUUUUCUUACUGCCCUUUCCUCCACUCUGAACCAAGUCUGCAGGCAGUCACCAUCUUUCUGUUUCUCUGACUGGCGUUUCUAGAAUUUAUAUUAAUGGGAUCAUACUGUAUGUACUCUGUUUUGGUAUUUUUGGCAUAUAUACAUUUAACUGUCUAGAAAUUAAACACUCUCUAUUAGUACCAAAGAUAUCAGUCUUAGCUUCCAACAAAAUCAUAUUAUAUCAUUUCUAUAAGAUGUCCAUAGCUUCCCAGUCCACAAAAGAGAUCACUUCCUUGUCUUACCACUUUUUUAAAAAAAAUCUGGCAUUAAUCUAUUUUUGGUUAAUUUAUGUACCUCUGUCCUCCAUCUCUACUCACUCUGCAUAAAAUUAUGAAAUCCAUAUUAACUAAUAUGCUUUUUUCCCUCUUUUUCUUACUACCCUCAAGUUGUCUUUUCUUUCUUUAUCUACCUGUUAAAUUCAGAGGUCACAUGUGCUAUAUAGCUGUAAACUCAUGUUGCAGGUGCUUUAGUCACUAUGCUUUAAAAACAAGACACACAAGGAGUUCCCAUCGUGGCACAGUGGUUAAAAAAUCCAACUAGGAACCAUGAGGUUGCAGGUUUGAACCCUGGCCUUGCUCAGUGGGUUAAGGAUCAAGCAUUGCCGUGAGCUGUGGUGUAGGUUGCAGACACGGCUCGGAUCCCGCAUUGCUGUGGCUGUGGCAUAGGCCAGCGGCUACAGCUCCGAUUAGACCUCUAGCCUGGGAACCUCCAUAUGCCACUAGAGUGGCCCAAGAAAUGGCAAAAAAGAC
rnacentral:lncRNA from 1 species